AGUCGUAACAAGGUUUCCGUAGGUGAACCUGCGGAAGGAUCAUUACUGAGUGAGGGCCCUCUGGGUCCAACCUCCCACCCGUGUUUAUUGUACCUUGUUGCUUCGGUGCGCCCGCCUCACGGCCGCCGGGGGGCUUCUGCCCCCGGGUCCGCGCGCACCGGAGACACCAUUGAACUCUGUCUGAAGAUUGCAGUCUGAGCAUAAACUAAAUAAGUUAAAACUUUCAACAACGGAUCUCUUGGUUCCGGCAUCGAUGAAGAACGCAGCGAAAUGCGAUAACUAAUGUGAAUUGCAGAAUUCAGUGAAUCAUCGAGUCUUUGAACGCACAUUGCGCCCCCUGGUAUUCCGGGGGGCAUGCCUGUCCGAGCGUCAUUGCUGCCCUCAAGCACGGCUUGUGUGUUGGGCUCCGUCCCCCCGGGGACGGGCCCGAAAGGCAGCGGCGGCACCGAGUCCGGUCCUCGAGCGUAUGGGGCUUUGUCACCCGCUCUGUAGGCCCGGCCGGCGCCAGCCGACAACCCAUCAUCCUUUUCAGGUUGACCUCGGAUCAGGUAGGGAUACCCGCUGAACUUAAGCAUAUCAAUAA
rnacentral:misc_RNA from 1 species